rnacentral:tRNA from 1 species
CCGACCUUAGCUCAGUUGGUAGAGCGGAGGACUGUAGUAUGUGCAGAAUAAUCCUUAGGUCGCUGGUUCGAAUCCGGCAGGUCGGA